UCAUCAUGCCCCUUAUGCUUAGGGCUACACACGUGCUACAAUGGGUGGUACAGAGGGUUGCCAAACCGUGAGUGGAGCUAAUCCCUUAAAGCCAUUCUCAGUUCGGAUUGUAGGCUGAAACUCGCCUACAUGAAGCUGGAGUUACUAGUAAUCGCAGAUCAGAAUGCUGCGGUGAAUGCGUUCCCGGGUCUUGUACACACCGCCCGUCACACCAUGGGAGUCGGAAACACCCGAAGCCGAUUAUCCAACCGCAAGAGGAAGUCGUCGAAGGUGGCGUCGAUAACUGGGGUGAAGUCGUAACAAGGUAGCCGUAUCGGAA
rnacentral:rRNA from 1 species